UACAGAGGGUGCAAGCGUUGUUCGGAAUUACUGGGCGUAAAGGGCGUGUAGGCGGUCGAACAAGUCAGAUGUUAAAGACCCGGGCUUAACCUGGGGGCUGCGUUUGAAACUGUUAGACUAGAGAGCAGGAGGGGAGAAUGGAAUUUCCGGUGUAGAGGUAAAAUUCGUAGAUAUCGGAAGGAACACCAGUGGCGAAGGCGAUUCUCUGGACUGCAACUGACGCUGAGGCGCGAAAGCGUGGGGAGCAAAC
rnacentral:rRNA from 1 species